CAUGGCUUUGAGACACUUGGAUUGCAGUGGACAAGCAGUAUGAAGGAAUUUUACUAAGUUUUGGGGUAGUUUUAUGGGCCUUUUUUGUGACUGAUGCCAUCACCACCCAUCGAUAAAUGCUGUGGGAUGUUCUCCCCGCGGCACUCUUUUCAAAACAUAUUUUCCAUCUGUUUGCCUACAGGUAGAUAAAGGACCUGGACAAAGGACCAUGAGUCUGCCUCAUCACAUCCGAGAAAAGGUCUAAGACCAGUUGAGAGGACAACUACAGAGGAGGACCAGGAGUCUGAAUCACAGCUAACCAGAGGUAGAUCAAGGACCUGGACAAAGGACCAUGAGUCUGCCUCAUCACAUCCGAGAAAAGGAGGGUCAAGACCUGUGAAAAAGAGGACACCUACAGAGGACCAGGAGUCUGAUACAUCACAGCCAGAAGAAAGAAAGAAAAACGAUUCAUCAAGAAAGAAGAGGAAGAUGUGGAGCAAAGAAGAAGUCCAAGCUGUGGAACAGGAGCUGAUGCACAGCAUUAAGACUGGCAAGGUUCCUGGUAAAGCACAGUGUCUUGAAUGUAUCCGUGCAUUUCCAGAGGCACUUAAAGGUAGGACCUGGGAUGCUGUCAAGUACUACGUGAAAAACAGAAUAGACGCUUGGAAGCGGCAGUCAAUGUCACACUAACUGCAAGUUGUUCUUGCUCUUUUGUGUUCGAAAGAGGCAGUUCUAACAGUGACCAUCGUUUGAUCUGAGUCAUAAUUUUUUAUUUAUUUUAAGAGGUACAAUUUGUAUCGGUUGUGCUAAAUUUAAAAAUGUUAUUACCAUGUUUGUGUAAUAUAACCAUUUACUUGACUGUUUAUCUUGCAUGGGAAAGAGAAGAGUGGUUACAUCAAGAAGAGUUCUAUUAUGAUGUUUGAUCCUUGUACUACAAAAGAGAUAAACCUUGGUUA